UUGGGAUAAAAGGGGAUCGAGACCAGGGGAAAAAAUAGAGUCUGGGUGGGCGGCGGCGGCGGUGAAGCUCUCCGAUUUUUCUGGAUUUCCCCGUCUUGCCGGUUGACAAGUAAGAAAGCACUGCAUUUAGAAAGAAAUUUUAUUCCAUUGGAUUUACUAGCUAGCGGCAGGACAUACAGAUAUUCGAUGAACACCCGCAGGCUGCCAAUCUUCACCAACGAGGCGGCAAGCGCUGCGGCCCUAAUGGAGUUGAUUGGUGCCUCGGGGCGCGGAGACGAUGUAUCGGCCAAUGGAUCCAGGGGGGCUGGCGGUGGAUUUGGUCAAGGGUCAUAUACUCAUGUGGGCAGAUGUUGAAUGGUGCGGCGUGCAGCGAGGAGAGAACUGUAGCUGGUGGUGGCGCCGCCAUGUCCGGUUUCAGCGAGAGCGAGGGUGACAAUGGAGAAGCUCUUGACGAGGCGGAGGGGGAAGCACACUUUGAUGGAGACCAAGAGGCUGUGAUUCAAGAUCAAACUGAUAGUGCUGAUGGAUGUUCUGCUCAAUCUACAGGCAAGGUGGAUCCGCAAGCACCUGGCUGGACAAAAAGAGUAAGAGUCGGCAAUCAACCGCCAGACAGGGCUCCAUGCCCGGCAAGGGUAGGCGCUGAUGCAGUUUCCUCAUAGUCCACGGGCAAGAUGGAUCCGCAAGCGCGAGGGUGGACUAAAAGGGUUAGAGAUGGGUAAGCAUCCACCGUACAGGACUGGGAGGAUCGGUGCACUGGAGCAAACAAUCGUGGGGGUAUGUGGAUAACUUGGGAGAGCAUGUUUGGGAGCGGAUCAUACACAGCGGGGAGUGUGCUGCCGCAGCCUGCUAUGCUAGAUGCAGGGGUGAACAUCCCAUGCAGACCAGCAUCUGGUUCACAGGUAGGAGGGCGGCCAGUGUGGCGGCAGAAAUCUGCGGCAGCCCUACGGUAAGUGAGAGUGAAGCCGACAAUGGAUACGUCGCCUCUGCCACUGGAGUUGGAGACGUGGUGGACGGCGACCAGCUAGCUGUGAUUCACGAGCGCGGCGAGAGUGAAGAUGCAGCAUCAGCACAAUCAAUGGGAAAGAUGGAUCCGCGGGCACUUGGGUGGACGAGAGGUAUCAGUAAUCUGAUAGGCUGUAAAUACUCUAAAUGUGGAGGUUGUUGAUUAUGCCUGAAUGAGUGAAUAAUAGUGAAUGGUUGUGGUCGAAGCUGACAUAGUGGAAGAUCAGUGUAGAUGCCGAUAGCUUGAAGGGAGUGGUGGUAUAGUUCAGUUGAAAAUUCAUGAAAUCUCUGAAUAAUAAACAUGCAUGUCUGAAAAUACAGAAACACAAUAAUUUUUAGGUGCGUCAUGCUUGCUACGCAGCUGUUCUGAAAAAAUGAGUCUAAUUUUAGAAUUUAAAAGAUGGGUACCUUCAGUUGGUGUAGAUUUCGCAGAAUAUGGAUUGAGUCCGGAUGUGUGCUGCAAUUUUGGUAGCUACCUGGCUGUACUCAAUAGUGGUCAGGACGGCCGCAAGACGGCGCAGGUAACGGCGACAUGGCACAUGAGGGCGUCUCUCCGUCUGGACCAACGGCUAUGAGACGCAUGUGGGUGCAUUAAAUGUCAGCAGUGGUGCAGCUUUGCAGUGUUCCAUAAAUCAAUCGAUGCUACCGAAUACGCUCAGUAUACAACACCUGUCUUGCAUCACGAGGAGAACUUGUGUGGUCCAGAUUUUAGGAGCAAAUACACAGAGCCGAAUUGCAUUUCCGGGCUUGACCACUGUUUGCUGGACUGUUGCAGCUAUUCAAGGUUUUUUUGCUCACCAGUUAUGUGCUUCCGCACUAAUCAUUUGUUUCUUCUGAUUGAGCUAAACAAUGUAUGCUUUCCUCCCAAGAAAGCCUGACAGUUUGUGGAGAUUAAUACAAAACGUUGUGCUAUUGACAUUAAAGUUGGUCAAUGAAAUUACAUACCUAUGUUUCCAAUUGCAUUUUUUCAGACAUGAUAUGGUAAUGUUCAGAGUAUAUGGCACAAGAUGAUGGUGCUGCUCUAAGCAAAGGACCUGAAGAAUUCUCUUGAUAGAAGCUCAAAAGGUAAUAAAGCACAUAAAUAAGUUUGCAGUUUAUCCGGUGUGUCAAGAACUAUCAAAAACCAUAUCCAUUUGUUUUGUAUAGACAUAUUUAUCUGCUGAAUAUGCAGCAGAUAAAUAUGUCUAUACAGAGUGUUUGAUCAGCUGGCAAGCAGUG